rnacentral:rRNA from 1 species
GUCGUCAGCUCGUGUCGUGAGAUGUUGGGUUUAAGUCCCGCAACGAGCGCAACCCUCGCCUCUAGUUGCCAGCAUUCGGUUGGGCACUCUAGAGGGACUGCCGGCGACAAGUCGGAGGAAGGUGGGAUGACGUCAAAUCAUCAUGCCCCUUAUGACCUGGGCUACACACGUGCUACAAUGGGCGGUACAAAGGGCUGCGAACCCGCGAGGGGGAGCGAAUCCCAAAAAGCCGCUCUCAGUUCGGAUUGCAGGCUGCAACUCGCCUGCAUGAAGCCGGAAUCGCUAGUAAUCGCGGAUCAGCAUGCCGCGGUGAAUACGUUCCCGGGCCUU